rnacentral:rRNA from 1 species
UUGACGGGGAGCACACAACAGGUGGAGCCUGCGGUUUAAUCGGACUCAACGCCGGGAAACUCACCAGAUAAGACAGCUGAAUGAUAGUCGGGCUGAAGACUCUACUUGACUAGCUGAGAGGAGGUGCAUGGCCGUCGUCAGUUCGUACUGUGAAGCAUCCUGUUAAGUCAGGCAACGAGCGAGACCCACGCCAACAGUUGCCAGCUCGUCCUCCGGGAUGGUGGGGACACUGUUGGGACCGCCUCUGCUAAAGAGGAGGAAGGAAUGGGCAACGGUAGGUCAGCAUGCCCCGAAUUAUCUGGGCUACACGCGGGCUACAAUGGGUGGGACAAUGGGUAUCGACACCGAAAGGUGAAGGCAAUCUCCUAAAACCAAUCUUAGUUCGGAUUGAGGGCUGCAACUCGCCCUCAUGAAGCUGGAAUCCGUAGUAAUCGCGUUUCAACAGAACGCGGUGAAUACGUCCCUGCUCCUU